rnacentral:misc_RNA from 1 species
GCAAACUUGGUCAUUUAGAGGAAGUAAAAGUCGUAACAAGGUUUCCGUAGGUGAACCUGCGGAAGGAUCAUUAUUGAAUAAUUUGCCUUGAUGGGUUGUUGCUGGCCUCUCGAGGCACUGUGCACACCUGUCUUGACUCUAUUCAUCCACCUGUGCACCUAUUGUAGUUUUGUACUCAUCUGGGGGUCAUGAAAGCGGAGUGUUAUUCAGUUGAAACACACUGGAUCUGAGGAUUGCCUUGUUGGCUUUCUUCUAUUAGCUCUGUGGAAUUGCACUUUCUUGAGUAUAAAGCUAUGUCUUUUAUCAUAAACCAUAUAGUAUCAGAAUGUAUUCAAUGGGUCUUUGUGCCUAUAAAACAUUAUACAACUUUCAGCAACGGAUCUCUUGGCUCUCGCAUCGAUGAAGAACGCAGC